UACGGGGGGGGCAAGCGUUGUUCGGAAUUACUGGGCGUAAAGGGUUCGUAGGUGGCCAACUAAGUCAGACGUGAAAUCCCUCAGCUUAACUGGGGAACUGCGUCUGAUACUGGUUGGCUUGAGUGCAGGAGAGGAAUGCGGAAUUCCAGGUGUAGCGGUGAAAUGCGUAGAUAUCUGGAGGAACACCGGUGGCGAAGGCGGCGACCUGGACAGUCACUGACACUCAACUGCGAAAGCGUGGGGAGCAAACAGG
rnacentral:rRNA from 1 species